UACGUAGGGUGCAAGCGUUGUCCGGAAUUAUUGGGCGUAAAGAGCUCGUAGGCGGUUUGUCGCGUCGAAUGUGAAAACCCGGGGCUCAACUCCGGGCCUGCAUUCGAUACGGGCAGACUAGAGUUCGGUAGGGGAGAUUGGAAUUCCUGGUGUAGCGGUGGAAUGCGCAGAUAUCAGGAGGAACACCGAUGGCGAAGGCAGAUCUCUGGGCCGUAACUGACGCUGAGGAGCGAAAGCAUGGGGAGCGAACAGG
rnacentral:rRNA from 1 species